rnacentral:rRNA from 1 species
CUACGGGAUGCACCAGUGGGGAAUAUUGCACAAUGGAGGGAACUCUGAUGCAGCAACGCCGCGUGGAGGAUGACACAUUUCGGUGCGUAAACUCCUUUUAUAUAAGAAGAUAAUGACGGUAUUAUAUGAAUAAACACCGGCUAACUCCGUGCCAGCAGCCGCGGUAAUACGGGGGGUGCAAGCGUUACUCGGAAUCACUGGGCGUAAAGAGCAUGUAGGCUGGUUUGUAAGUUAGAAGUGAAAUCCUAUGGCUUAACCAUAGAACUGCUUCCAAAACUACUUACCUAGAGUAUGGGAGAGGUAGAUGGAAUUUCUGGUGUAGGGGUAAAAUCCGUAGAGAUCAGAAGGAAUACCGAUUGCGAAGGCGAUCUACUGGAACAUUACUGACGCUCAGAUGCGAAAGCGUGGGGAGCAAACAGGAUUAGAUACCCCGGUAGUC